rnacentral:rRNA from 1 species
CAGUCGCCACGGGAACACGAAGGGUGCAAGCGUUAAUCGGAAUUACUGGGCGUAAAGGGUGCGUAGGCGGUUGUUUAAGUCUGUUGUGAAAUCCCCGGGCUCAACCUGGGAAUGGCAAUGGAAACUGGACGGCUAGAGUGUGUCAGAGGAUGGUGGAAUUCCCGGUGUAGCGGUGAAAUGCGUAGAGAUCGGGAGGAACAUCGGUGGCGAAGGCGGCCAUCUGGGCCAACACUGACACUGAGGCACGAAAGCGUGGGGAGUAAACAGGAUUAGAUACCCCGGUAGUCCCUGUCUCUUAUAC